rnacentral:rRNA from 1 species
AUGAACGCUAGCUACAGGCUUAACACAUGCAAGUCGAGGGGCAGCAUGGUCUUAGCUUGCUAAGGCCGAUGGCGACCGGCGCACGGGUGAGUAACACGUAUCCAACCUGCCGUCUACUCUUGGACAGCCUUCUGAAAGGAAGAUUAAUACAAGAUGGCAUCAUGAGUCCGCAUGUUCACAUGAUUAAAGGUAUUCCGGUAGACGAUGGGGAUGCGUUCCAUUAGAUAGUAGGCGGGGUAACGGCCCACCUAGUCUUCGAUGGAUAGGGGUUCUGAGAGGAAGGUCCCCCACAUUGGAACUGAGACACGGUCCAAACUCCUACGGGAGGCAGCAGUGAGGAAUAUUGGUCAAUGGGCGAGAGCCUGAACCAGCCAAGUAGCGUGAAGGAUGACUGCCCUAUGGGUUGUAAACUUCUUUUAUAAAGGAAUAAAGUCGGGUAUGGAUACCCGUUUGCAUGUACUUUAUGAAUAAGGAUCGGCUAACUCCGUGCCAGCAGCCGCGGUAAUACGGAGGAUCCGAGCGUUAUCCGGAUUUAUUGGGUUUAAAGGGAGCGUAGAUGGAUGUUUAAGUCAGUUGUGAAAGUUUGCGGCUCAACCGUAAAAUUGCAGUUGAUACUGGAUAUCUUGAGUGCAGUUGAGGCAGGCGGAAUUCGUGGUGUAGCGGUGAAAUGCUUAGAUAUCACGAAGAACUCCGAUUGCGAAGGCAGCCUGCUAAGCUGCAACUGACAUUGAGGCUCGAAAGUGUGGGUGUCAAACAGGAUUAGAUACCCUGGUAGUCCACACGGUAAACGAUGAAUACUCGCUGUUUGCGAUAUACAGCAAGCGGCCAAGCGAAAGCGUUAAGUAUUCCACCUGGGGAGUACGCCGGCAACGGUGAAACUCAAAGGAAUUGACGGGGACCCGCACAAGCGGUGGAGCAUGUGGUUAAAUUCGAAGCAACGCGAAGAACCUUACCUGAUCUUGACAUCCCGAUGACCGCUUCGUAAUGGAAGCUUUUCUUCGGAACAUCGGUGACAGGUGGUGCAUGGUUGUCGUCAGCUCGUGCCGUGAGGUGUCGGCUUAAGUGCCAUAACGAGCGCAACCCUUGUUGUCAGUUACUAACAGGUUCCGCUGAGGACUCUGACAAGACUGCCAUCGUAAGAUGUGAGGAAGGUGGGGAUGACGUCAAAUCAGCACGGCCCUUACGUCCGGGGCUACACACGUGUUACAAUGGGGGGUACAGAGGGCCGCUACCACGCGAGUGGAUGCCAAUCCCAAAAACCUCUCUCAGUUCGGACUGGAGUCUGCAACCCGACUCCACGAAGCUGGAUUCGCUAGUAAUCGCGCAUCAGCCACGGCGCGGUGAAUACGUUCCCGGGCCUUGUACACACCGCCCGUCAAGCCAUGGGAGCCGGGGGUACCUGAAGUGCGUAACCGCGAGGAGCGCCCUAGGGUAAAACUGGUGACUGGGGCU